UCUAGUUUAUCCUGCUAGAGGCUGCGGCUCUUUGGUUUGGGUUAAGCCAUGCAAGUUCCUCGAAAGAGUGCGAACCGCUCAGUAACACGUAGCUAAUCUAACCUAAAGCCCGGAAUACCCUCGCGAAAGUGAGGCUAAGACCGGAUAGGGCAUGGAUUCUGGAAUGAGUCAUGCUUUAAACGCAAGGUUUUAGGACGAGGCUGCGGCUGAUUAGGCUGUUGGCGGGGUAAAUGCCCACCAAACCGAUUAUCAGUAGGGGCUCUUAGCGGAGUUGCCCCGAGAAGGAUCCUGAGACACUGAUCCUAGCUCUACGGAGUGCAGCAGGCGCGAAAAUUCUGCAAUGCCCGCAAGGGUGACAGAGCAAGCCAAAGUGUUCUCUCGCAAGAGAGAACUUUUCUAUGUUGUAAAAAGACAUAGGAAUAAGGACUGGGCAAGACUGGUGCCAGCCGCCGCGGUAAUCCCAGCAGUCCAAGUCGUGGCCACAAUUAUUGGGUCUAAAACAUUCGUAGCCUGUUCGGAAAGUCUCUUGUGAAAUCGUUUCGCUUAACGAAACGGCGUGCUGGAGAUACUACCGGACUUGAGACCGGGAGGCGUGAGAGGUACAUCUGAAGUAGUAGUAAAAUAUGUUAAUCUCAGGUGGACCAACAAUGGCGAAGGCAUCUCGCGAGAACGGAUCUGACGGUGAGGAAUGAAGGCUAGGGGCGCGAAACGGAUUAGAUACCCGUGUAGUCCUAGCAGUAAACACUGCGUACUAAACAUCGUGUUCUCCUUGAGAGAAUGCGGUGCUGUAGGGAAGCCGAAGAGUACGCUACCUGGGAAGUAUAGCCGCAAGGCCGAAACUUAAAGGAAUUGGCGGGGGAGCACUACCAGGGGUGACGCGUGCGGUUCAAUUAGAUUCUACACCGUGAACCUCACCAGGAGCGACAGCAGAAUGAAGGUCAGUCUGAAGGGCUUACCUGACACGCUGAGAGGAGUUGCAUGGCCGUCGUCAGCCUGUGCCGUGAGGUGACCAGUUAAAUCUGGUAACAGGCGAGACCUACAUUUGCAGUUGCUACGGCAAGAGCACACUGCAGAGACUGCGUCCGUAAGGACGAGGAAGGUGUAGGCAACGAUAGGUGAGUACGGCCCGAAUCCCCUGGGCUACACGCGCGCGGCAAUGGUAGAGGCAGUGAGAUGCAACUCCGAAAGGAGAAGCCAAUCCCAUAAUCUCUAUCCCAGUCCAGAUUGAAGGCUGAAACCUGCCUUCAUGACGCUGGAAUCCCUAGUAAUCGUUCUUUAGCAGAGAACGGUGAAUUAGUCCCCGCUCCUUGCACACACCGCCCGUCAAACCAACCGAGUUAUGCUUUGGUGAAGUUCGCAAGAAAAGAACCUCGGUAUGACAAGGUAGGUUAAGUCGUCACAAGGUA
rnacentral:rRNA from 1 species